UGGGGAAUAUUGCACAAUGGGCGCAAGCCUGAUGCAGCGACGCCGCGUGAGGGAUGACGGCCUUCGGGUUGUAAACCUCUUUCAAUAGGGACGAAGCGCAAGUGACGGUACCUAUAGAAGAAGGACCGGCCAACUACGUGCCAGCAGCCGCGGUAAUACGUAGGGUCCGAGCGUUGUCCGGAAUUACUGGGCGUAAAGAGCUCGUAGGUGGUUUGUCGCGUUGUUCGUGAAAACUCACAGCUUAACUGUGGGCGUGCGGGCGAUACGGGCAGACUUGAGUACUGCAGGGGAGACUGGAAUUCCUGGUGUAGCGGUGGAAUGCGCAGAUAUCAGGAGGAACACCGGUGGCGAAGGCGGGUCUCUGGGCAGUAACUGACGCUGAGGAGCGAAAGCGUGGGGAGCGAACA
rnacentral:rRNA from 1 species